GGGGUGAUGGGUCAGUGGUUAAGAGCGUUGUGUUCAAAUCAAAAGUUUCGGAAUCGAAUCACGAUUAUUUCA